rnacentral:rRNA from 1 species
UUUUGAGCUAGCUCUCUGCAACUUUCAUAUGGUCACCCACUGAAGAUGAGCAGGGCUGCGCCCAGUCAGUACCUGAAUGGGAGACCACAUGGGAAAGCUAGGUUGCUACCGCAA